rnacentral:rRNA from 1 species
GAUGAACGCUGGCGGCGUGCCUAAUACAUGCAAGUCGAGCGAACGGACGAGAAGCUUGCUUCUCUGAUGUUAGCGGCGGACGGGUGAGUAACACGUGGAUAACCUACCUAUAAGACUGGGAUAACUUCGGGAAACCGGAGCUAAUACCGGAUAAUAUUUUGAACCGCAUGGUUCAAAAGUGAAAGACGGUCUUGCUGUCACUUAUAGAUGGAUCCGCGCUGCAUUAGCUAGUUGGUAAGGUAACGGCUUACCAAGGCAACGAUGCAUAGCCGACCUGAGAGGGUGAUCAGCCACACUGGAACUGAGACACGGUCCAGACUCCUACGGGAGGCAGCAGUAGGGAAUCUUCCGCAAUGGGCGAAAGCCUGACGGAGCAACGCCGCGUGAGUGAUGAAGGUCUUCGGAUCGUAAAACUCUGUUAUUAGGGAAGAACAUAUGCGUAAGUAACUGUGCACAUCUUGACGGUACCUAAUCAGAAAGCCACGGCUAACUACGUG